GUUAUCACUAAGGGGAAUACUCUUAAACGUAUCGGGCUUCAAUUACGGCUAUUUUCCAAGACCACAGGGAAAAUUAGCCGGGUAUUCACGCGUGGUUUUCCCGGUCAAGGCGCAGAAGUCGUGUAGAACUAUCACUGGGGUCACAAAACAGUCUCGAAAAGCCCAUGAACUUCCACGCGGCUUUUCAAACGGGCGUAUACUGUGGUUUCGAUACGUUUUAGAAUACAGGUUUAAAGUCUAUAUUCUUAAACGUAACUGGGCUUCCAUGGGUGAUUUUACCGCUCAAGAUUCAGAGGUCGUGUAGAACUAUCACUGGGGUCACAAAACAGUCUCGAAAAGCCCAUGAACUUCCACGCGAGGCUUUUCAAACGGGCGUAUACUGUGGUUUCGAUACGUUUUAGAAUACAGGUUUAAAGUCUAUAUUCUUAAACGUAACUGGGCUUCCAUGGGUGAUUUUACCGCUCAAGGUGCAAAAGCCGUGUAGAACUAUCACUGGGGUCACAAAACAGUUCAUGAGAAUCCCAGGAACUCCCACGCGAGGCUUUUCAAACGGGGUUAUACUGAAGUGCCGAUACAUCUAAUAACAAGGACUUAAGUGAUACGAUUAUAGAACAAGACACAAAAGCCGUGUAAAACUAUCACUGGGGUCACAAAACAGUCCAUGAGAAUCCCAGGAACUUUCACGAGAGGCUUUUCAAUUAGGCUUAUACCGAGGUGUCGACAGGCUUAAGAAUACGGGCUUAAAGUGUGAGGAUUAGAACACUCCACCGGUAACGGAUCGUACUCCACUAAGCAGGCGUGGAACCCGGGAGUAUGGCACUGAAGACCGCUGGAGGGAGACGGAAGAGAUGUGUGUGUGUGUGUGUGUGUGUGUGUGUGUGUGUGUGUGUGUGUGUGUGUGUGUGUGUGUGUACGGGAUCCCAACACACACACACGCACACACACAUACACAGUAGCAGCCCCACCCACUUUUCCGACUCAGACAGACACACACGCACGCUCCGACACACACACACACACACACAAACACGCUAAGUAGGUUUCUUCCUCGUCUCCAAUCCACUAACUCCGAGGUCACGUUUGCUGUCGCCUGGCUACACACACACACAGGGAUGCAGCAGGACUUAAAUGGGCAGAAGGAACAAGGAAUCACCAGGUUGCAAGCUUGUACACACGAGUUAAAGAUGGUCAGACUGUGUACCGUGAACAUGGGAACACUAACAGUUAGGAGAGAAAUACGUAAAGGAGAUAUUGACAAAACCCCCAAAAAGAGUAAACAUAUGGAACUACUUGCAAGGGAUUAGUUAAAUGUAUCAGAAAAGGGAUCUACUAUAUAAAGCAGUUUGUUUGUUUUUGUUUUUUUACAGCAAAGGAGACAGCACAAGGGCACAAAAAAAGGAAACAAUAAUAUAAACAAAAAAGCCCGCUACUUGCUUCUCCUGUGAUGAAUCCGAGGAGGUGGCCGAAAGGGGGGUCAAUUACGGGAGAGAGGUACACUUUCUGGUACAGUGGGAACGAGGCUGGUACAAACGGUGCUGGGAGUGAUUCAAGAGAGCUAGAAGGUGCUAAGCUCGUAUAUUUGGGAAGGCUGUGUACCUGGAAAAAGCGAUGUACCAUAUGAGGCAGUAACGAGAGAGGUACACUUUCUGGUACAGUGGGAACGAGGCUGGUACAAACGGUGCUGGGAGUGAUUCAACAGGAGCUAGAAAGAAGGAUAAAGAAGGGGAACGAAUAGGGUGGACAGGAAAGAGAUAUUAAGAAGAGGAGAUAGAUAAGGGUAAAGAAGGAGGCAGAGGAGAAAAUAGGAAAAUACGAACAGUAGAAAAAACACGAAAGGGAUAGAUGAGGGUAAAAAAAGAGGAGAAAAAACGAAAAUAAGAACGGUAGAAAAAAAAACGAAAGGAGAAUGAAACAAAAUAAAGGGAAGGAGGAGAAGUGUUUAGAUACUAUGACAAAAGUGAAAGGCUAAGCUCGUCUAUUUGGUAAGGCUGUGUACCCGACAUUCCCGGCAGACAGGAAGACUUACACAAGAAAUGGAGGAGUUUUGAGUUCAGCUAAGGGUGAGGGAGUUGGGGUCUACGUGUAGCAGAGAGUUAGUUAGUUGAAGGUGACAGGAAUGGGGGUUUUCAGGAUUACGGAAGCUUUGUCUAACUACCACCAGGAUCAUAACGGGAAAGGGAUUGAGGAGAUAUAGGGUGGAGAUGUUUAAGGAGAUAGAAAUGAAGGUGAAGGAAGGGACAGAACAGCAGAGAGUCAGUUAGUUGAAGGUGACAGGAAUGGGGGUUUUCAGGAUUACGGAAGCUUUAUCUAACUACCACCAGGAUCAUAACGGGAAAAGGAUUGGAGAUAUAGGGUGGAGAUGUUUAAGGAGACAGAAAUGAAGGUGAAGGAAGGAAGGGAGAGGACAGCAGAGAAGGAGAGAGGUAGGGAAGCUUUGUCAGACUACCACCAGGAUCAUAGGAGGAGAGGGAUUGAGGAGAUAACGGAUGGAGAUGGUUAAGGAGAUAGAAAUGAAGGUGAAAGAAGGAAGGGACAGGGCAGAAGAGAAGAGGAGAGGCAGGGAAGCUUUGUCAGACUACCACCAGGAUCAUAGGAGGAGAGGGAUUGAGGAGAUAACGGAUGGAGAUGGUUAAGGAGAUAGAAAUGAAGGUGAAGGAAGGAAGGGACAGAACAGAACAGAAGGUGAGACAUAGGGAAGAGUUUCACAAGAUAAUGGAAGGGUCAUAACGGGAAAGGGAUUGAGGGGAUGGUGGAUGGUGAUGUUUAAGAGACAGAAAUGAAGGUGAAGGAAGGAAUGAACAGGACAGAAGAGAAGGGGAGAGGCAGGGAAGGGUUUGAUAAGAUAAUAGAAGGUAGAAAUGAUGACGAAAUAGAAAUAGAUUUGUGUGAAGACCAGGAACUUGAGGGAAUGAGUGCUUAGUAAUACAAGAUUGGUGACAGUUGUUCUUGAUGAGAGAAGUAUACAUGGAGGAGGAGGAAGAGGAGGAGGAGGGAGGCAUCAUCAGUAGGCCUAUAGGUCACUAGGCUGUACGUUUUC